AAAAAGGUUCUUUGAUCUUGGAGGAAAACCUCGAGUUCCAAGUUCAGCCUCACAGAAAAAUGAUUUUUCGUUAAGAGAGAUUCCUUGUUAAGAACUCAUGUUAAUUUGCUUGAUUUGUUUGCAUUAUGCACAUUCAUGCUUAGAGAAGGAAAAGCAAUACCUAUUGCAUGCUUAUAUGAACUAUUGAUGCUAGGUUUGUAUAUUGAUAGUUUAGUCUCCUAAGUUUGGUUAUUUUUAAGGGUUUUGCUAAUUGUGGGUUGCCGAUUAUAGUGGGGAAUUACCCUUCAAAGCUGAGAUGAAACACAUGGAUGCUGAAAACCAUGUUGAUACCAAUGAUAUGAGGUUGGAGUGAGAUGAAAUUCGUCACGUAGGUUGACCUUUCAUUUAGAUCUUAAUAGUCCAUCCAUUUGCUAUUUGGUUGGAUUUCAAUUACGUGCAUGCACUCUGCACACCUGAAUGAGGCUUCCCAUCAGAUAGAAGUAAUCUAGGACUAAACCAUUGUGUUUUCUAUUGUAAGAAUCAAAUAUAAGGUUCUUAUUAUCUGUUGCAUAACAAAGUCUGAAGGGAACAAUGAGGCAAAAACAAUGUCCUUAUCCAACCUUUUCUGCUGUCUUAUUCUUAUUAGAGCAGGAAGAUAUAUAGGAACCACUGCAAUUGCUUCAACAAGAUUCGUGCAGUGUACAGCUGCAAUUGAAUAGUGAGAGGGAAAUAAAUGCGUGAUAUUGGAGUAUCUGGCAUCUCGUUAAGGACUAUAUGUCAAGAAGUUGGAUUUUUGCCGUGGAUUCUACCGUAAUCUAGUUUUCUCACCGUUGAAUUUUCCUAUUAUUUUGCGCUUUAGGGCUUGGAUAUGAUAUGUUUGAUGCUACAUACACUUGUUGUGAUACGAUUUUUCGUUAUUUUGUACUCUACGAAUUCGGAUACCGUUUGCUAAGUAUUUGGUGAACAACCUUUAUUUAUGGAAGUUAUGAAUGAAUUGUUCUCGAAUUUCAA